GCCGUCCAUCUACCCCGGUCGCCAUGGGCGCUCCCGGUGCUCGGCCAUCUCCACCACCUCGCGGGCGACCUGCCGCAUCGCGUCAUGCGCAACCUGGCACGGCGCCACGACCUGCUCGUGAUGCUCUGCCUCAGCGGGCUGCCCGUCGUCGUCGCCUCCUCCACGGACGCCGUGUGCGAGGUCAUGGUGUCCCGCGACGUUGACUUCGCCUCCCGCCACAUGAGCUGCAUGGUGCGCCUGUCCAUCCCGCGGGGCACCGAGGGGAUCAUCUUCACACCCUGCAGCGACGAAUGGCGCCAGCUCCGCAAGAUCUGCACCGUCGAGCUACUCAGCGCUCGGCGCGUGCGCUCCAUCCACCCCAUGCGCGAGCAGGAGGCCGGCCGGCUGCUCCACGCAGUGGCGGCGUCUGCGUCGCAGCGUACGGUGAACCUCAGUGAGCUAUUGUCGGUGUACGCUGCCGACUCGUCGGUGCGCGCCGUCCUCAGGAGCAGGUUCAAGGAUCGGGGCGUGUUCCUGGCGCUGCUGCGACACGGGACCAAGUUGUUCGUUGGUAUGAGCUUGCCGGACCUCUACCCGUCGUCGUGCCUCGCCAUGCUCGUCAGUCAGACGCCAAGCCGGAUCAGGCAGAACCGCCAGGAAUUGGCCGCGUUCAUGGACGCUAUUGUCUGGGAGCACCAGAGGAACCGUCGGGCUGACGACGAGGAGGAGGACCUAUUGGACGUGCUCCUAAGGAUCCAGCAGGAAGGCGAGCUGCAGUUCCCCUUGUCCACUGACAACAUCAAGUCGGUCGUCGGCGACACGUUCUCCGGUGGCAGCGAGACGGCGGUGACGAUGUUGCAGUGGGCCAUGUCUGAGCUCGUUAAGAGCCCAAGAGCGAUGCAGAAGGCGCAGGACGAAGUCCGUCGCGCGCUCGCCGGACAGCCCACGGUGACCGAGUCCUCGCUCGCCGAUCUAAACUACCUGCACCUGGUGGUCAAGGAGGUGCUCCGGCUGCACCAGCCGUCACCGCUGCCGCUGCCGCGGGAGUGCUAGAGUGAUGGUUGCCGUCUCCUCGACUACGACGUGCCCAAGGGGACGAUGGUGCUCGUCAACGCCUGGGCCAUCAGCAGAGACCCCGCCCACUGGGACGCGGCCGAGGAGUUUGUGCCGAGCGCGGUGAGACCACCGACUUCAGAGGCGGGGACAUGGAGUACACGCCGUUUGGGGCCGGGCGGCGGAUGUGCCCCGGGAUGCCGUUUGGGCUGGCCAACGUGGACCUCGCGCUCGCCGGGCUGCUCUACCACUUCAACAGGUAGCUGCCGGGCGGUGCGGCCGCCGGCGAGCUGGACACGGCGGAGGAGAUGGACGUCACCGUGCGGCGGCGCCACGACCUCGUGCUUGUCCCCGUGGUGCAAUUGCCUGUGCCACCAAAUUAUUGAUAGUCGCAAAACAACCCAAAUGAUAACACCUACACAUGUGGCAUAUCUAUACUUUGCCCACACGCUUUGA
rnacentral:rRNA from 1 species